rnacentral:tRNA from 1 species
GCCUGAGUGGCUCAGUCGGUUGGGCAUCUGACUUUGACUCAGGUCAUGAUCUCACAGUUUGUGGGUUCGAGCCCCGCAUCGGGCU